rnacentral:rRNA from 1 species
UACGUAGGGGGGCAAGCGUUGUCCGGAUUUAUUGGGCGUAAAGAGCGUGUAGGCGGCCAGGUAGGUGGGUUGUGAAAACUGGAGGCUCAACCUUCAGAGGUCGACCCAAACCCCCCUGGCUAGAGUCCGGAAGAGGAGAGUGGAAUUCCUGGUGUAGCGGUGAAAUGCGCAGAUAUCAGGAAGAACACCCGUGGCGAAGGCGGCUCUCUGGGACGGUACUGACGCUGAGACGCGAAAGCGUGGGGAGCGAACAGG